rnacentral:lncRNA from 1 species
ACCGCUUCGACCAUCACUGUGUUUGGGUGAACAACUGCAUUGGGGCCUGGAACACCGGGUACUUCCUCAUCUACCUCCUGACACUGACAGCCUCUGCCGCCACCAUAGCCAUCCUGAGUGCCGCCUUUCUGCUCCGCCUAGUGGCAGUGUCAAAUCUCUACCAGGAAACUUACCUGGAUGACUUGGGGCGUUUCCAGGCUGUGGACACAGGCUUUCUCAUUCAGGUAAUUUUGUACUGGGUCCCAGGAAAACACGAAGCUACUCUUUUAUUCUUUUUAAAAAAUAAAUAUUCUUAUUCUUUGAGAA